AAAGGCAACACAGAGGCUCACCUCCUAUUCUUUUUCUUCUGGGGAAGCAGCUCCCAUUGCACCAUUUUCCUAGCAAAAGAAGUUAUGAUCUGCAGGAAAAGGCCUCUUUCAGACUCCUGUUGUGCAAAAUGAUGCUGGCCAGUCACCCAUCGCAAUCAGCUUCUCACUCCAGCAUUUGUGAGGAAAGAGGUUUGAUUUUCCAGCUUUCUGACUCAAAUCUGAAGAUACUCACCAGAAGCUGCCUUAUGUGUGGAUGCAGGAGAGGCUAGAGCAAAUUCAAAACCAAAUCACAAGAGGGCCUUAGCAUCCUGGAGGCUCCCCACAGAGAAUUGGCCAUAUGUUUAAAGGUGUCGUAGACUCCAAAUUCAUCAAUCAUUCUCUGAGUACCAACUCGAGUGCUAAAAUAAUAUAAAGUGACAGCAGGAGAUAUCUGAAAUACCUGGGAUCUACCCUGUCUGGAUCAAUUCUCAGAAGAAGUAGUGCUGGAAUUUAUAAA